GUGCAAGAAAGCAUUAAACAAGUUAGAACAUUUAUAAAAACCAUGUAAAGUAUACAUGUAUAUCUCUAUCCUCUAUUGAACUUCACAAUAUUUAUUAUUAUGUGCUAACGAUCUUAUUACCUCUCUCGAUGGUAAUAAAAUUCACAAACAGUUCAACUGGUGGCCAAUUAAUUUAAAAGCAAACGAACCAAUAAUAAAUAUCCAAACAGCUAAACAAAUUAUCGUCAAUCUAAUCAUUAAAACUAAAAAUUCAUAACAAGGGUCCAUCACAUCUUAACAAUAAAAAAAAUUAGCCACGCAUUAAGUCGGAAUUAAACACGCAAAAGUUAAAAGAUAUCACUGAAUAAUUGACGAUUUUUGGCGCGUACAAAAUUCCAGCAGGCAGCUCGUUCUAUUUUCCGGCAAUCCGCUACAAUUUGUUGUCCGUUUCCUAAUUUUUUUAAUGUAUAUAAUUCCGGCAAGCAGCUCGUUUAUAUAUUCCAGCAAUCAGCUCGUUUAAUUUCCAGAAUUUUGCUUCUUUUCUCCAGAUUAGUCUUCCCCCAAAGCUGCCCAAUGUAUGUGUAUAUGGAAUUUAGCAGCAAGCAACGCAAUUAUGUCUAUGUAUUCAAUUCCAACACCAAAGCAGCCUCCUUUCUUUUCUUUUCUUUUUCUCGCCUCCAGCCUCUGCGUUUCUGUGCCAAGAAGCUGUCGUUUUU
rnacentral:lncRNA from 1 species